UACGUAGGGGGCGAGCGUUGUCCGGAUUCAUUGGGCGUAAAGAGCUCGUAGGCGGUCUGUCGCGUCUGCUGUGAAAACUCGGGGCUUAACCCCGGGCCUGCAGUGGGUACGGGCAGACUAGAGUGCGGUAAGGGAGACUGGAAUUCCUGGUGUAGCGGUGAAAUGCGCAGAUAUCAGGAGGAACACCGGUGGCGAAGGCGGGUCUCUGGGCCGUAACUGACGCUGAGGAGCGAAAGCAUGGGGAGCGAACAGG
rnacentral:rRNA from 1 species